AUCUGUCACAGCUUAGCUUGGGUCUGCCCCACCCUGAAGCUCCUCUCCCAGGCCUCACCAGCCACAGACAGCCGAGCGCCUCUGCUGACUGCCGUGCCAAGCCGGUUGCUGGCCUCACAUGUGUAGACACCCAGGUGCCAACAGCUGGAGGGAAA